ensembl:lncRNA RPL23AP7 ribosomal protein L23a pseudogene 7
CAGGGGUGGGGGGCGCAGGUCAAGCUUUCACCAGUUUUUAAUUCUUUGAUGGGGUAAAUUUGAGCAAUUUUCUCGACUUGUCGACAUUCGUUAUUAACUGAGCAGGAAUCAGGAGAGGAACCCGGUCCUCUCCACACAGCCCAGCAGAGAGCCUACGACUAGAUUUGCAUCUUUACGUCCUGCGCGGAGGCUGCUACACACAUGCAGAAGUCAUGCUGGUGGCCUGGACAGUGAAGGGAGAGAAGUGGAUUUGGGAGACAUUUAGGAGGAACAGUAAGAGGACCUUGUGCAUGAAUAAUUUGUUUCCACACUACAGAGUGGCAGAAGAAUCCCAGACUUCUUAGAGAACCCAGUGACUUUUUGCACCUUAAAUCUGUGAAAUCCUCAUGUUUUCUUCUGCCGUAUCCAUAGUUCAAACAAAGAUGAGGCAAAGCUAGAUGCAUUCCUGAAGGAACCCAAGAAAUUCCUCUCUUUAUUUCUCUGGAAUGAAAUGAAUUCUCUAGACCACCAGUUCUAACCUUCAAAAACCAAACCUGUUUGUGAGAUCUCCUUCAAAUACUACUGUAGACCCCAGUGUUUAUUCAUUAAAUUUUUAAAAUAUUUGUUUUAUUU